rnacentral:lncRNA from 1 species
UGCUUGAUGCACCUCCUUAUCUGGCUCGCCAAACUGUUACGAUCUUUCUCUGGUGGAUAGUUGGUAGUCGGUCUGAAGUCGAUAAGGAGCCGCACCUGUUAUUUGGCGGCAGGAGCACAGGAAGAUAAUGCGCUGUCGUCGGAGAAAGGAUACAUAGUCAAGGCCGUGAUUGAGGAUGAUAAGAUUGAUGAUAGAGAGAUAGUGCUGGGCUCCGCUUGACAUCAGAGAAGAAGAGCCUGCAAAAUAAGUCCCGUC